UACGGAGGGUGCAAGCGUUGUCCGGAUUUAUUGGGUUUAAAGGGUGCGUAGGCGGCUUCAUAAGUCCGUGGUGAAAGCCAACAGCUCAACUGUUGAACUGCCAUGGAUACUGUGAGGCUUAAGUACAGACGAGGUAGGCGGAAUGGAUCGUGUAGCGGUGAAAUGCAUAGAUACGAUCCAGAACACCGAUUGCGUAGGCAGCUUACUAGGCUGUAACUGACGCUGAGGCACGAAAGCGUGGGGAGCGAACAGG
rnacentral:rRNA from 1 species